CCUACGGGUGGCAGCAGUGAGGAAUAUUGGUCAAUGGUCGGGAGACUGAACCAGCCAAGCCGCGUGAGGGAAGAAGGUCCUGUGUAUCGUAAACCUCUUUUGUCAGGGAACAAAGACUGGGCCGUGUCCCCGGCUGCGUGUACCUGAAGAAAAAGCAUCGGCUAACUCCGUGCCAGCAGCCGCGGUAAUACGGAGGAUGCGAGCGUUAUCCGGAUUUAUUGUGUUUCAAGGUUGCGUAGGCGGUCAGUUCAGUCAGCGGUAAAAGUCCGGGGCUCAACCCCGGCGCGCCGUUGAAACUGGCAGUCUCGAGUUGGCGAGAAGUAUGCGGAAUGCGCGGUGUAGCGGUGAAAUGCAUAGAUAUCGCGCAGAACUCCGAUUGCGAAGGCAGCGUGCCGGCGCCACACUGACGCUGAGGCACGAAAGCGUGGGUAUCGAACAGGAUUAGAUACCCCGGUAGUC
rnacentral:rRNA from 1 species